GGAGGUCUAGAAGGAGUCAUAGUACCACUUAUCAGGAGGUCUAGAAGGAGUCAUAGUACCACUUAUCAGGAGGUCUAAAAAGAGUCAUAGUACCACUUAUCAGGAGGUCUAAAAGGAGUCAUAGUACCUGUCUUGUCAAAGUCUGAGGAUGAACCAGAAUCCUGUAUGACCAGAUGAAGAACAGGAACAUUCCAGCAGGAGAACAUCCAGAGAACAACAUCAGACCAGAGCUUCUCCACUAGAACCAAGUGGAACCAGGACCUGGACAGUGUGAGUCCUGAAGCCAGCAGAACCUUUGAGGUGCUCUCCAGAGAAAGGUAGAGCAACAGAACCCCUCCAGCACAGAGCAGCUGAAGAACACAGAGAAGAUGUGAGCAGAGAUGAGUGGACUCUGGUUUCCUCCAUGAGGAGGACUGAAGGAAGAACCAAAGAACCCGAGGAACCCUGGACUCACUGAUGAGGAAGUUAAGAUCAGCUGAUGUUUGUUUUCUGUUUAAGGAAGUAAAACCAGUUUAACUUUAGCAGGAAUUUUAUUCUGAAAGUCCCUGAGAACCAGUUUAACCACUAAGAUUACAUUCACACACACAGACACGAACAGAAGACACAAACUGAGACGUCAGCCCUGAUCGAUCAGUAACUGAUCAAUAUCUGAUCAGAAGUUAAACAAGAUGAACUCUGAGCGCCACCCGCUGGACGCUACACGUCCUGCAGCUCAACCCACUGAAGGGUUCAACGACAAGAAAAAUCCUUUAAGACACCGAGAGAACACUAACCUGUCCCAGACUAACCACAAACAUCCAUCAUUAUUGCUAUUAUUCUUCAUAAUUUAAUUAUUAUUCUUAAAAUUAUUAUUAUUAUUAUUAUUAUUAUUAUUAUUAUUAUUAUUAUUAUUAUUAUUAUUAUUAUUAUUAUUAUUAUUAAUAAUAAUAAUA
ensembl:lncRNA